UAUGAUAUGUCCAAAGAAUUCGAAGAAAGUUUAGAUUGCGAGGUGGGACCCUGUUACUGGAUCGUUGAACAUAUACCAGUCAUUUUUUUUAUGUUACAAGGUUGGCACACAAUAUGACACGCCGUUCCAAGCAUUUGGAGAGGUCAAGAGCACAAAUAAUCAACCAAAAUGAUGAUCAUAACACCAACGAUAGCAGCAAUAUCGAUGCUUCCGUAGAGAAAGGGAAACAAUCAAGUUCUACUCAGUGAUGCUAAUCCAAAUCCAUAAAGUACAGACUUGGAUGGAGGGUGAAGAUGUAAUUGUCGCUGCAAGGACAAGUUGGAUUUAUUUUCUCCAGACUAUCUAGAGAAUCGGUGAUUUUUCUUGUAACACGUUUGUAAUUGUGCCCAGUAGUUUUCUUUCAUUGUUGUUUCUAUUUUCCUCAGUACGAUUGCAAUCACCUCGUAAUUGAUUAUUAUUAUUAGAAAGUA